GGACAGACGAGUUUCCUUCUCUACUUCAGAGGCCUAUAUCCCUCCUCAACCAUUCUAUAACGGGAAGGUGGAUUAUUUUGACCUUCAGCAACUCGGAGGUCUCCUGGCUCAUCUCAAGAAAACUCUGAAAGAAAAACAGGUUAAAAAAAACCAAUCUCGCUGCUCAGGGGCAGCUGCGCUGCACAGAAGUCAGUCAUCUCACGGAUGAAUUUAAAUGGUGAAGUCUGGCUGUAAACUGGAGAAGCACACAUCCAGCCCUUCUCAAGGGCUCCACAAACCACCCUCUGCAGCAUGCGUCCCCAUUCGUCAAGGACUGGCCACGCAUCCUCGCCCUGACCGCAGCAAGGAUCCUACCUGAGAUAUUCCAGCUGCCUCUUGUCCUGAAGGAGGUGGAGGCCAUUUUCCCCCAGCUCUUCCUGGCCCUCCUCUUGCAAGCGUCCUUCACCACGGAGCAGACGGAGCAGGAGGUGGAAAUCUUCUGGGUGGAGCACCAGCAGGGCCAGCUCACUCCCAGCAGGUCCGCGGUGCGGGCCUUGAAGCUGCUGCUCUGCAGCGGGGCGGCUGGGACGCGCUUCUCAGCGCCGUGACCCACCUCCAGGGUGUGCAGGUGGUGGCCAGGGUGAUGAGGGAACUGCCUGGAGCUCUGCGUGCCCCCAUCUUCCACCAGCUGGUUGAGCUGCUCAGCAACAGCUUUUACUCCUGGGAGAUGGUGGCCAUAGC